AUUGAACGCUGGCGGCAGGCCUAACACAUGCAAGUCGAGCGAGUGGCGGACGGGUGAGUAACGUCUGGGAAACUGCCUGAUGGAGGGGGAUAACUACUGGAAACGGUAGCUAAUACCGCAUACCAUCAGAUGUGCCCAUAUGGGAUUAGCUAGUGGGUGGGGUAAAGGCUCACCUAGGCGACGAGCCCUAGCUGGUCUGAGAGGAUGACCAGCCAAAAUGGAACUGAGACACGGUCCAGACUCCUACGGGAGGCAGCAGGGGGGAAUAUUGCACAAUGGGCGCAAGCCUGAUGCAGCCAUGCCGCGUGUGUGAAGAAGGCCUUCGGGUUGUAAAGUACUUUCAGCGAGGAGGCGUUACGCGCAGAAGAAGCACCGGCUAACUCCGUGCCAGCAGCCGCGGUAAUAG
rnacentral:rRNA from 1 species